GGCACUUUGGCGGAGUGGUUAACGCGAUGGCCUGCUAAGCCAUUCCCUUCGGGGGCGUGAGUUCGAAUCUCACAGGUGUCG
rnacentral:tRNA from 3 species